ACAGUGCUUGACACAUAGUAAGCGCUUAAAUAACCACUAUUAUUAUUUUUAUUAGGAAAAUCAUUCCAAUAUUUUAGUUAAAUAUCAUUUAUGCCUGUAAGGAACAUUUCAUAUAAAAUUGACUUAGUGGUAACUCCUAUUCACUGAUUUACUUGGUUGAUCAAGUUUUAACUGUUUUGACUGAUGCUACCAACUCGUAACUAAUUUCACAUAUUUUUCCACCAUUCUGGCAGUUGACUUCUUCCCCCCCCACGUCUGUUAUGCUUCUUCAUUCUUCCCACCUAGACUUGCUCUUUAGUCCCCUUCGUCUUCACAGCCUUUUUUUUUUUACCCUUCGCUCCUCUUUACCUCUGCCUGGCUGGAGCGGCAGUCACUCUAUUUCCUGCUUGUGGCUUCAUUUCAACUGCUUUUAAAAUCAGUGAUUGUUCCUUGGUGAUCAGUGAUCACAGAAAUUACUAAAAGCAAUUUUACAGUUUGGAGAGGGGUUUAAAAAUAGUAAGAGAUUAGGAAAAGAGGCACAACCUCUAAAGGUGUAUCGUUAAAUUAGCCACCCGAAGGAUUGGGGGAUCCUAAAUGUGUGAAAAGAUGUCAGAGUCCCUAUUGCCAUUUGUCUUGCCCUGAACUAUGGUGGAGAAACGUCUGUGUUGUAAGACUAGGAGCUGUUUGUCUGCAACCGACCCUUUUGGUGAGGAAGAAUCAUUGUAGGGCUUCAGUAAAAGAAAAACUCAGUUCUUACUGUCUCCCAGCCAAGGUUCUCUGCUGCAGUGUAGAAAGAAGUGGCUCCUUUUGAGCAGAAGCAACAUAAGCCUUGGGAGAUGAGAAAAAUAAAGCGCAAAUGACAUUAGGACUGAAGCGUGAAACUAAACAGCACAGGGGACAAGGACAGUGUGUGUCCUCGAUGCAUCUGGAAUGUGGGCUCCAAGCGCAUUGGCCUCUUAGGUCAAACAUCCCGCCCCCCCCCCCCACCAAAGUUGAACGUUACAGUCAGCUGAUCACCUCUGAGUGAGGGCACGUAUAGAUAAUACCCAUUACUGCUGUCUCAAGUCUGCAUGAAUGGAGUUAGAGGAUGUGACCAUCUGUGGUUUACAGCUCAGUAAACUGUUCCUCACCCCAGUAAAUGAUUAAGAACUAUUUACUGUCUGAGGUACAAAGGUGAUCCCAUAGCCACUCCUGCCCCUUAGCCCAUAUCAGGUGUCUCAACGGACUUUCCUGUUUAUUUGCGUGGGACUUCCAUAGCCAUUCUAGGGCAUGAGUUGACUCAGCAGAGAUGAAAUCUUGUCAAAUUUUUUAAAAAAAGAAAGUGUCAUCACUGGAAAUGUAUACUUCAAAAAUCUACCUGGUAAUCUUACAGUUUGAGGGGCUUGUAGACCUUGGCUAUAUCCUUUAGAGAAAAUCUAUUAUACUUGAAAAUUUUCUAUUUUCACAUUUAAACACCUUCACCUACCUUCUGAAUUCUGGAUUAUGAAUUUAUCAGAAUUCAGGAUUGAAAUAGCACUGGAGCUGCUGAGGAUCCUGAAAACACUUAAUGAAGGGUGAAAAUAUAGUGAAAAUGAAGG